AGAGUUUGAUCCUGGCUCAGAACGACGCUGGCGGCGCGCCUAAUACAUGCAAGUCGAGCGAGAAGGUGUAGCAAUACACCUGUAAAGCGGCGAACGGGUGAGGAAUGCAUGGGUAACCUACCCUCGAGUGGGGAAUAACUAGCCGAAAGGUUAGCUAAUACCGCAUACGUUUCCGGAACUUCGGUUUCGGAAAGAAAGCAAUACCGUGGGUAUUGCGCUCCUGGAUGGGCUCAUGUCCUAUCAGCUUGUUGGUGAGGUAACGGCUCACCAAGGCUUCGACGGGUAGCUGGUCUGAGAGGACGAUCAGCCACACUGGCACUGCGACACGGGCCAGACUCCUACGGGAGGCAGCAGUAAGGAAUAUUGCGCAAUGGACGAAAGUCUGACGCAGCGACGCCGCGUGGGGAUGAAGGUCUUCGGAUUGUAAACCCCUUUCGGGAGGGAAGAUGGAGUGGGUAACCACUUGGACGGUACCUCCAGAAGCAGCCACGGCUAACUUUGUG
rnacentral:rRNA from 1 species